GUGAAUCAUCAAAUUUUUGAACGCAAAUUGCACUCUCUUCGGAGAGUAUGACUGUUUGAGGGUCAGCCUAUAAAAAAUCGAAAUCGUUGCUGUUUCGCGGCGGCGGUCGUCGGACAUUGGGUCAUCUUCGAUUUUUUGGUUUUAAGCGACUUAAAAUUUUCUUUUUGGUUUUAUGAAAGUUUUUAAGAUUUAUUUCUUUACACGUUCAAGGUCUCGAUCUUUAUUAGACGUGACUCUUAU
rnacentral:misc_RNA from 1 species